ensembl:rRNA 5S_rRNA 5S ribosomal RNA
GCUUACGGCCAUACCAGCUGAAGAAGGCAAGAUCUCGUCUGAUCUCGGAAGCUAUGAAGGUUUGGGCCUGGUUAGUACUUGGAUGGGAGACUACCUGGGAAUACCAGGUGCUGUAAGCU